rnacentral:pre_miRNA from 1 species
GGAACCAACGCUGACUUACCUGGUGACAUGGGAAAGGUAAGUCAGUGCUAGUUUCGC